ensembl:piRNA 21ur-12502 ncRNA
UAAUGUUGUAAUAGCUACUCG